CCUUCGGAUUCAGGGGGAGUGUCCCAGAGAUCCCUGGUCGACCGAAGACUCCACCCCUGCGCUUUCUUCUCGCGUCGCCUCAGUCCGGCUGAGCGGAAUUAUGAUGUGGGUAAUAGGGAGCUGCUGGACAUCGUCCUCGCGCUGCAGGAGUGGAGGCACUGGCUGAGGGGUGAAGGAACCUGAAUUUUAUAAUCACCUAUUACUCUCGAGGUUCCAUUCGUGUUCGUCUUCAUGAAAGAAGUACAAUUAUAACGACGUGUUAAAAGUCAACCAAUUUAUUCCUGACAGAGGAGGCUAUACAUUUUACAGAGCUCUGGGUCAGCAGCUAUGCUUAUCCUAGUCUCAGCAGAGACAGCGCAGGCUGAACAAAGCUAUCUGUUCUUGCCCCCGACUUAUACAAUGUUUGAAAGCGGAAGUAUGGAAUCGCUGUCGUCUGAUUGGUCAAUGGUCCCAUCUGACGUCAUCAAUGCUCUGCAGAAUGAUGACCAUUUGCCGCUGGCUCCAGGUGCCGUCUCCACAGUCUUACAUCUCAUGUUUACAGUGACACCCCGCACCCAUUUUCUUCUCCAACAUCGGUUCUUUGUGGCCUCCACAACACACUCCCACACCCUUAUCUGAUUUCCAUUUUAUACUAUACUGAAAUAAACACCCUUGUUUACCCCCAGACCAGUUACACCAUAAAACCCUAUAUAUCCUUUAAUCCCCCUAUUGAUCUCUGGUAAUCAGAGAUCAACAUCCUCUACACAUGCAGCCUAGUUCGCUACAAUACUCAAUAAAGCCUAAACUAAAUACAGCAAAUAUCCCAAAACUUAAGAAGAGGAUACAAAGGCAUCGUUCAACGGAGCGAGCGCGCUCAUGGUCUCCACGUCCUCUUUCAGUGGCAGCUACAGAUAUCGGCUGUGGGGGUCCUUCCCUUCAAAGGCCUUGAGAGCAAUCCUGUCAUAAACGGAACAGAGGAUAGGACCCAAAAAUGCAUGACUCCAAAACAAAUGGACAGUUUCCAAAAAGAGAGGUUUAAUAUACGGGCAUAGGUCGGUACACAGGCAGGCAAUCCAAGAAAGGCAACAGUAUCCAAAAACAAAGAGGCGAGGUCAAUAAUCGGAACAGGGUCAAGUCUUACUAUGAGUCUGUGACGUGGAAACAAGGAAUGCUGGAACGCGACGACAAGGUACAACGAACUGGCGACGAGAGGGAAUGAGACACGAGGUUAAAUACAAGGGGUAAUUAGGGUGAACGAGGCACAGGUGGUGAAGAUGCUCUCAGGAGCAGGUGUGUGUGAAACAGGGGGAAGACAAAAACCGGAACACACACCCAUGACAGUACCCCCCCCCCCUUAACGGCCGGCCCCAGACGGUCCCGGGGCCCCUGGAUGCGCAACGUGGAAGUCCCGAAUGAGCGAGUCAUCCAUGAUAAACGCAGACGGCACCCAUGAAUGUUCCUCAGGCCCAUAGCCCUCCAAGUCCACCAGAUAUUGAAACCCCCUCCGACCAGACGACAACAGUCGCUUCACAGAGAAGACAGGGCCCCCAACCACAAACCGGGGGGGAGGAGGGGGCCUGGAAGGCGGGACCAGAGGGGACUCCCGGGCUGGCUUGAGUAGGCUGACGUGAAAAGCAGGGUGGACCCGCAUCGACCUUGGGAGCCUCAGCUUCACGGUGACAGAGUUGAUGAUCUUUGUGAUGGGGAAGGGCCCAACGAACCUGGGAGUGAGCUUCUUGGACUCCACCCGCAGUGGAAUAUGUUUGGUCGAGAGCCAAACUCACUGACCCACUUUGUAGUGUGGGGCCGGUGUCCUCCGACGGUCAGCAGCGGGUUUGUAGGACCGUCCCUGGCGCAGCAGCAUCUGGCGGGCUCGCUCCCAGGUCCUCCUGCAGCGUCUCACCAAGGUCAAUGCCGCUGGAACUGUGGACUCUGGGGCUAUGGCAGGAAACAGAGAUGGUUGGUAACCAUGCACAACGUGAAAAGGCGAUAGACCAGUGGAUGCAGAGGGGAGGGAAUUGUGGGAGAAUUCGACCCAAACCAGUUUCUGAGACCAGGAUCGCGGCUCCUGUGAAGCGAGACAUCGGAGCCCAGUCUCCAGGUCCUGGUUCAGCCUCUCGGUUUAGCCGUUGGUUUCAGGGUGAAACCCAGAUUACAGACUGACGGUAGCACCUAUGAGAUUGCAAAACACCUUCCAAAAUUGCGAAAUGAAUUGGGGACCCCUAUCAGACACCACAUUUUUAGAACCAGGUCGUUUUCGGGAAGGUCCGUAAUUGGAUUUACUGGGGAAUUUGUCGCUCUUUUUUUGUUUUUUUUGUUUUCCACCAAACAGCUGCCAUGGCAGUGGACACCAGAUAAAUCUCAUGAAUUUUUCUCCUCAAUUUUUCAUUCUCUUCUAUUUUCUUAUUCAAAUCUCUUUUCUCCAUCCACCCUGCAGCGUGUAACUUUUCCUUCAUCUUUUUUCCUUUCAGAAUAACUUCUCUUUCUUCCUUCUGAAACUCAUCUGCUAUGUGAAACAACGUACAUUCCUUUUUCUUUUUCCACUUUGCCCAUACACUUCUAAAUCCUGCUUGUUUCUGUUUCUGCCAGCUAACAACUGACUUUCUAUUUCAAUCCACAAAUCCUCCAAUGACUUCUGGUAAUCACGCCGAUACAUAUCGCAUUCAUUACCUCUACCCUCGACUGUCAAAUUCACACCCCAGGGUUUUGGUGACACACUCAUCUUAUUCUAAAUCGGUUUUUGGGGGUCCCAAAAUCUCCAACGUCUACCGAAACUUCACAAUUUGAAACCGCGUCCGAUUACAAGUCAGUCUACGACGGGACAAGCAGGUACCUUGUUACCCGACUUUCUCCCAGGAUCUAAUAUUAUCCUGGUGUGUCAGGAACCUUGUUACCCUGACUUUCGAUUAGCACAACAAUAGCAACACAACGUCCUUGUAAGACAGCAUUAUCAGACAGCUCUUUUAAAGAUUCACAACUUUCAACUUUUCAAAAAGACCCUUUUGAACAGUUCAGAAUCACAAAAUACUUUAAAUAUUGACAGCUUAAUUUUGUUUUAAAUUUCAGUUUUGAGUGUCUUGGAAUUGUAUCGCUUUUCGAACAUACAAUAAUGUAGUGACAAACUCCUAACCGCAAUUUGUGUUUGAAAUCGAGCAGCCAAAUAUCUCAAUCUGAAAUGUGAACAUUGAAUAUUUUGAUGGUGAAAAAAAUUUAGGUUGGAAAAGGGGUGCAGGUCAGCGUCAUGUCUGAGAAGUACUGAAAUUAUGAAAUAAAUGUAAUUAAUUUGCACAAAAUCGAGAAAAUACCAUUUGCAAUGAACUAACAACAGCACAAAUAACCUUUUCAAAGUAAAUUCAUACAAAAAGAGAAAAAAUCUGUAAUACACUGAGUGAGACAAUGAGUUCAAUUCAGUGAAAACACAGGUGUCAUGAGUCAUCUUGCAGUUCUACUGUUGGAGCCUGGGUGGCGCUUUGCGCCCUCUCGCUCUUUCUCUCUCCCCUCCCCUCUCUCUUUCCAGCACCUUCCUCGGCCGCGCACCUGUCACCAAUCAGCCCUCGUUACCACCUGCACUUAAGCCUGCCUGAUCCUGGAAAACCUUGCCAGAGUAUUGCAGUUUCUCCAGCAGUACAACGUGUUCCCUCUGUGUUCCUCGCCAAGUGAAUUGCUACCGCCAAGCCAGUCGCCUGCCACGCAUUCCCUGCUUCCACAACCCGCCAGCGCACCUCAAGGACCAUCUACAUUUCCCUUUUUCAAUAAACUGUUCAUCACAAUA